GAAACCGUUCAGGGGUAAACCUGAGAAACCCAAAAGAUCGAAUGGGGAGAUUCAUCGACGACGAAACUGGCUCCCGUUGGUGCGCGAUACCUCGAACGCCUUGGUUCUAAGGCAGGGGUACACCACCUUCGGCGAUUGUCCGGCGACGUAGUCGUGCACUUCUCCCUUAGUAGAACGUCGCGACCCGUUGUGUGUCGGUCUACGGCCUGAGUUAUUUGGCUGUCGCGUCGUCUUUGUGCGUUCGCGACAGAGGCUCGGUCGCCCGGCCGGCUGCACGACGGUACUCUGACGGUAUCGGGCCGCAACCAAUCCAUUCUCGAAUGUUUGUGCGUCAGGCCCGCCGCAAGCUCGGACAGUUUAAUCCCGGAGUGUGCGGACUUUGUGCCCUCCCCGGGUCUGGCCAGCUGUUGGCAGGCGGUGUCCUUGGACUGGCCAAGCUUUGAAUUACCGGUCAGCGACGCUACUGCUUUGGGUACUCUCAGGACCCGUCUUGAAACACGGACCAAGGAGUCUAACAUGUGCGCGAGUCAUUGGGACAUUAAAACCUAAAGGCGUAAUGAAAGUGAAAAUCGUCCUUAGCGUCGAUCAAGGGAGGAUGGGCCGUUUACGUCCCGGCCCCGCACUCCCGGGGCGUCUCGAUCUCAUUGCGAGAAGAGGCGCACCCAGAGCGUACACGUUGGGACCCGAAAGAUGGUGAACUAUGCCUGGUCAGGACGAAGUCAGGGGAAACCCUGAUGGAGGUCCGUAGCGAUUCUGACGUGCAAAUCGAUCGUCGGAACUGGGUAUAGGUGCGAAAGACUAAUCGAACCAUCUAGUAGCUGGUUCCCUCCGAAGUUUCCCUCAGGAUAGCUGGCACUCGCUCGUUCCUCCGUGAACGUGUGCGAGUUUCAUCUGGUAAAGCGAAUGAUUAGAGGCCUUGGGGCCGAAACGACCUCAACCUAUUCUCAAACUUUAAAUGGGUGAGAUCUCUGGCUUGCUUGGAUCAUGAAGCCAAGAGAUUUUGAAUCAGAGUGCCAAGUGGGCCAAUUUUGGUAAGCAGAACUGGCGCUGUGGGAUGAACCAAACGCAGAGUUAAGGCGCCUAAGUCGACGCUUAUGGGAUACCAUGAAAGGCGUUGGUUGCUUAAGACAGCAGGACGGUGG
rnacentral:rRNA from 1 species